UUGGCUGAAAAAGAGAAGUUUCAGAAUGAAACAGGUUUAGUGAUAACGAAAAAGUAAAGUAUCUGGGGGUAAACUUAACAUCUAAGAAUGUGAAUUUAUUUAAGGACAAUUAUGACAAAUGUUGGACAGAGGUAAAGAAAGAUCUAGAAAUAUGGUCAAGGUUGAAACUCUCUUUGUUAGGUCGAAUUGCUGUUAUCAAGAUGAAUGUAUUGCCUAGAAUGUUGUUUUUAUUCCAGACAUUGCAGAUUUUGGACAAGAUGGACUGUUUCAAGAAGUGGCAGAAAGAUAUAUCUAAAUUUGUCUGGCAGGGCAAAAAGCCCAGAAUAAAAUUUAAGAUUCUAACUGAUGCAAAAGAUAGAGGGGGUUUGCCCUGCCGGACUUAAGACUCUACUAUGAAUCGGCGGCUUUCUGCUGGUUGAAACAUUGGCUACUUCUUGAGAAUACAGACAUUUUGGAUCUAGAAGGGUUUGACAAUAGAUUUGGCUGGCAUGCAUAUAUAUGGUAUGAUAAGGUAAAACUGCAUAAAGGUUUCAAAAACCAUAUUGUUAGGAAAGCAUUAUAUAAUGUUUGGAUGCGGUAUAAAGAUUUAUUGGAAAGUAAAACUCCCAGGUGGUUGUCACCAAUGGAAGCUAAAGAGGUGAAAAAACUUAAUAUGGAGUCUAAAUGGCCAAAAUAUUGUGAAAUUUUAGAACAAGAUGGGGAAAAAGUUAAAUUACAGAGUUAUGAGAAAUUAAAGUCCAAAGUGCGAGAUUGGUUGCACUACCUUCAGAUAAACGAGACAUUUAAACAGGACAGGAAAAUAGGUUUCCAGAUGGAGAGGUCAAAAUUAGAAACAGAACUGUUAGAACCCAAUACUAAGAAUCUGUCGAGAAUGUAUAAUCUGCUGUUGAAAUGGAACACACAGGAUGAAACGGUGAAAUCAGCUAUGAUAAAAUGGGCACAAGAUAUUGGUCAUAACAUUAUGUUUGCUGACUGGGAACAGCUGUGGACCACCGGUACUAAAUUUACGGCAUGUAAUGCCUUAAGAGAAAACAUUAUGAAAAUGAUGUAUAGGUGGUACAUGACCCCAGUCAAGCUUGCAAAAAUUUAUCAUCUGCCCAAUAACAAAUGUUGGAAAUGUAAUGAGACUGAAGGUACUUUUAUCACCUUUGGUGGACCUGCCCGAGGAUAAAAGCUUUUUGGGAAAUGAUCUAUAAUGAAAUUAAGAAGGUUCUUAAAUGGACCUUCCCUAAAAAACCUGAGGCUUUUCUCCUGGGCAUUGUCGGCCAAUUGGUGAGAAGGAAGGACAGGACGUUUUUUAUGUAUGCGACCACAGCAGCAAGGAUUCUUCUAGCAAAGUAUUGGAAGACACAACAACUACCCACACUGGAAGAAUGGCAGACGAAGGUGAUCGACUACAUGGGACUGGCGGAGUUGACUGGCAGAAUCCGUGACCAGGGGAAAGAGACAGUGGAAGAAGAUUGGAAGAAAUUCAAAGUUUAUCUUAGAACUUGUUGUAAAAUUCAGGAAUGUUAAAAUGUCAAGGGGUUGGGAAACAGAGAAUUGCAGCUGUAAUUAACAAUAUUAGAAGAACUUAAAAGAAAUUGAAUUGAAUAAUUAGUCGACUGAGGAGUUGCUGAAGAAAUAUAAAACAAGGAUGCAGAAAAGGGGAGGUAUGGGGAAGUCCGGAAAGUAAGGUUUAUGAAAAAAUGGUUAUGAAAUUAUACAUGUUUAUAUGUUUGUAUGUCGGUGUAUUGUGUAUUGUUUGUUUUUUUUUUAUUUUGUGUUUGGAAAAUUAAUAAAAAUUUAUU